AUUGAACGCUGGCGGCAGGCCUAACACAUGCAAGUCGAGCGGAUGAAGGGAGCUUGCUCCUGGAUUCAGCGGCGGACGGGUGAGUAAUGCCUAGGAAUCUGCCUGGUAGUGGGGGAUAACGUCCGGAAACGGGCGCUAAUACCGCAUACGUCCUGAGGGAGAAAGUGGGGGAUCUUCGGACCUCACGCUAUCAGAUGAGCCUAGGUCGGAUUAGCUAGUUGGUGGGGUAAAGGCCUACCAAGGCGACGAUCCGUAACUGGUCUGAGAGGAUGAUCAGUCACAAUGAAACUGAGACACGGUCCAGACUCCUACGGGAGGCAGCAGUGGGGAAUAUUGGACAAUGGGCGAAAGCCUGAUCCAGCCAUGCCGCGGGUGUGAAGAAGGUCUUCGGAUUGUAAAGCACUUUAAGUUGGGAGGAAGGGAAGUAAGUUAAUACCUUGCUGUUUUGACGUUACCAACAGAAUAAGCACCGGCUAACUUCGU
rnacentral:rRNA from 1 species